GAUGAAGAACGUAGUGAAAUGCGAUACUUGGUGUGAAUUGCAGAAUCCCGUGAACCAUCGAGUCUUUGAACGCAAGUUGCGCCCGAAGCCAUUAGGCCGAGGGCACGCCUGCCUGGGCGUCACACGUCGUUGCCCCCCCCAUCUACUCCUUCGGGAUUGCGGGGGGCGGAUGAUGGCCUCCCGUGCGCCUCGCCGCGCGGUUGGCAUAAAUGCCAAGUCCUCGGCGACGCACGCCACGACAAUCGGUGGUUGCGAAACCUCGGUUGCCCGUCGUGUGCGGUCGUCGCGCAUCGAGGGCUCGAAAAAAUUGCCGGGCUUCGGCUCGACUUUCAACGCGACCCCAGGUCAGGCGGGGUUACCCGCUGAAUUUAAGCAUAUCAAUAAGCGGAGGA
rnacentral:misc_RNA from 1 species